rnacentral:rRNA from 1 species
CAGGUACAGAGGGAUGCUACCGGGCGACCGGAUGCGGAUCUCGAAAGCCUGUCCCAGUUCGGACUGGAGUCUGCAACCCGACUCCACGAAGUUGGAUUCGCUAGUAAUCGCGCAUCAGCCAUGGCGCGGUGAAUACGUUCCCGGGCCUUGUACACACCGCCCGUCAAGCCAUGGGAGCCGGGGGCGCCUGAAGUCCGGGACCGCGAGGACCGGCCUAGGGCGAAACUGGUAACUGGGGCUAAGUCGUAACAAGGUAUC